CGUCGUUGGAGUAAAAACCGGUAACACUGUUUUUCAUUUUAUUUUUACGAAGUAAUAAUGGCGUUUGUUGUGGAAAUUGGCUGUCUUCUAUCCAACCAUUCCCUUUUACUUAAACGUGUUCACCCUUAAGUUAGUUACGAAAAGUUCCUUCAAAGAAUUUCUCCGUCUUGAUAGGUUCACUGAAGCAGAAAAAUCAAAGCGUCAUCCUUAUACAUUUUUGCCAUUUGGAUAUGGUCCUCACAACUGUGUCGGCAUGAGAUUUGCUUUGCUGGAAAUUAAACUGACCCUGGUGAGGUUACUGAAGAAAUACAAGCUAGAGCGCACUGAGAAAACAGCGGUUCCAGCGGAUUUUGUUGCUACUUUUGUUCUCACCUGUUCUCCUGGACAAGUCAUGUUAAAGGUUUCACCAAGAGAGUAAAGAAAGAUUAAUCGUGCACCGUUUUCCACAAGAAGCGAGAAAUAUUAAUCGUCUAGUAAACCACCCUUCUGAUCCAAGUAAAAAUGGCUUUUAGAUGACAAUGAUACGAGAUUUUUUUUCACUUUUCCACUUUUAUUUUAACCUUGUGAGGUUCAAAAACGAAAACAAUACAUAUUCUUAAUAACACUUAACAUUACUAACAUCAAUAAUUUACGUGUGCUGUUAUUAUAAUUUAUUAAAAUAAAAAUAAGACUUCAUACAAUCAAUUAAGUUUCUAAUAUGCAUUUUAUAUACGACUGUCAUCUAGUCUGAAAGUUAAGUUCUGUGUUGUUUUUCAUAACUAUAUAUUUCUCAGCUCUAAAUUUCACUGUGACGAUUUCCUUAAAAGCACUUAGAUUAGGAGUUACACCACGUUUCCUACUUAUCCAAAUAUGUAUUUUGACAAGUGUAAUAAAGUAAUUCACGCAAUUACGUGAAUGGUACUGAUAAACAUGA